GACAAUCACAGAAUAUCAGGAACGUUUAUUAUUGUGUUGUGGUGCUGAGCACGCUGUGAUGUGUCCUGUUAAACACACAAGUCCUGGGCUGAGUGAUGGAGGGCACCGAAGGCUCCAUGGUGCAAGCCUUACAUCUUCCAGACCGAGGGGCUCUGCGUACCUGGCAGAGCGGGGCUGGCACGGGAAGAGUGAAGGGUGUGGCUGCCAGCCUUCAAGGUGGAGCAGAGAGCCCUGGCUUAGUCUUUAAGCUCUUGUGUCGUUUCCUUCCAUGAUGUAUGGUCAACAAAACAUAGCAGCAGUGCUGGGAUGUGCUGUGAAGCCUGGCUCAAAGAUAGCAUCUGCCUUAACUUCUUGCUUGAGGUACUCACUGUGGAAGAAGCCAGCUUCCACAGUGUAAGAGAGUUCAUGCAGCCACCUUGGGGGCCUAUGUGAUGGAGAACGGAACCCUCCUGCCACCAACCGUGUGAGGAAUCAUCAUGGCUGCAUAUCCUCUGGCCCCAUGAAGCCCCCACGUGCUGCCAGCCUGUUCAAUAUCUUGACCACUGCUCCAUGAGGAACCCUGAGCCAGAACCACCCUACUGAACUUCUUCCAAGUUCCUGCCGCUCGGCGCUGUGAGAGAUGAUGAAUGGAGCUGCAGACUUGCUAUUGUAGUGCUGUUUAAGCCUAUUGAAGAAAAGAGGGAAAGAGAGAAGAUGGAAAGAAGAGAAGAGAAGGCGCUCGAGCCGGGUGGUGGUGAGAAUUUUCUGAUGCUGAGCUGUUUUCCAGAGUAAAGACUCUGAGCAAUGGUGUCAUCUUGUGGCUACAAAUAGGAAUCGCAGCCAGCCAUGUCCCCCAACGUGGGGACAUUUUAACUGAAAGUGCAAGAAAACAAGCUGUAGUUCCUCUACACUAGACAACAAUAGCUCCACACUUGGUAUAUUCACAUACCUUUGGGGUGAGUCCAUAAUUAACUCAGUGAAAUAAUAGGGUUUGAUAUUUGAGUCACCCCUAACUGUAAGAUUUCUUCACUCAUUCAGUAAAUAGUUACUUACUAUUUUCGUAAGACUCUGGGACCCAGCUGUAAAAAAAAUAAAAAAUAAAA